GUGGGGAAUCUUCCGCAAUGGACGAAAGUCUGACGGAGCAACGCCGCGUGAGUGAUGAAGGUCUUCGGAUUGUAAAGCUCUGUUAAUCGGGACGAAAGAGCCUAGUGUGAAUAAUGCUAGGAAGUGACGGUACCGGAAUAGAAAGCCACGGCUAACUACGUGCCAGCAGCCGCGGUAAUACGUAGGUGGCAAGCGUUGUCCGGAAUUAUUGGGCGUAAAGCGCGCGCAGGCGGAUCUGCCAGUCUGUCUUAAAGGUUCGGGGCUUAACCCCGUGAUGGGAUGGAAACUACAGAUCUAGAGUAUCGGAGAGGAAAGUGGAAUUCCUAGUGUAGCGGUGAAAUGCGUAGAUAUUAGGAAGAACACCAGUGGCGAAGGCGACUUUCUGGACGAAAACUGACGCUGAGGCGCGAAAGCCAGGGGAGCGAACGGGAUUAGAAACCCCAGUAGUCC
rnacentral:rRNA from 1 species